CCUACGGGAGGCAGCAGUGAGGAAUAUUGGUCAAUGGGCGAAAGCCUGAACCAGCCAAGUCGCGUGCGGGAAGACGGCCCUAUGGAUUGUAAACCUCUUUUGCCCGGGGGCAAAAAGCGCUACGUGUACCGCACUGAGAGUACCGUGCGAAUAAGCAUCGGCUAACUCCGUGCCAGCAGCCGCGGUAAUACGGAGGAUGCGAGCGUUAUCCGGAUUUAUUGGGUUUAAAGGGUGCGUAGGCGGGGGGUUAAGUCAGAUGUGAAAUGUCCGGGCUUAACCCGUGACCUGCCUUUGAAACUGGCGUUCGAGAGUGGGGGAGAGGUAGGCGGAAUGCGUGGUGUAGCGGUGAAAUGCGUAGAUAUCAGGCAGAACACCGAUUGCGAAGGCAGCAUACCGGCGCCCAACUGACGCUGAGGCACGAAAGCGUGGGGAGCGAACAGGAUUAGAUACCCGUGUAGUC
rnacentral:rRNA from 1 species